rnacentral:rRNA from 1 species
CAGUAGCCGCGGGAAUACGGAGGGUGCAAGCGUUAAUCGGAAUUACUGGGCGUAAAGCGCACGCAGGCGGUUUGUUAAGUCAGAUGUGAAAUCCCCGAGCUUAACUUGGGAACUGUAUUUGAAACUGGCAAGCUAGAGUCUUAUAGAGGGGGGUAGAAUUCCAGGUGUAGCGGUGAAAUGCGUAGAGAUCUGGAGGAAUACCGGUGGCGAAGGCGGCCCCCUGGACAAAGACUGACGCUCAGGUGCGAAAGCGUGGGGAGCAAACAGGAUUAGAUACCCGCGUAGUCCCUGUCUCUUAUAC